rnacentral:rRNA from 1 species
CCUACGGGAGGCAGCAGUGAGGAAUAUUGGUCAAUGGGCGCGAGCCUGAACCAGCCAAGUCGCGUGAGGGAAGACGGUCCUAUGGAUUGUAAACCUCUUUUGUCGGGGAGCAAAAGACGCCACGCGUGGCCUUCCGAGAGUACCCGAAGAAAAAGCAUCGGCUAACUCCGUGCCAGCAGCCGCGGUAAUACGGAGGAUGCGAGCGUUAUCCGGAUUUAUUGGGUUUAAAGGGUGCGCAGGCGGAAGAUCAAGUCAGCGGUAAAAUUGAGAGGCUCAACCUCUUCGAGCCGUUGAAACUGGUAGUGUUGAGUGGGCGAGAAGUAGGCGGAAUGCGUGGUGUAGCGGUGAAAUGCAUAGAUAUCGCGCAGAACUCCGAUUGCGAAGGCAGCAUACCGGCGCUCAACUGACGCUCAUGCACGAAAGUGUGGGUAUCGAACAGGAUUAGAUACCCGGGUAGUC